rnacentral:rRNA from 1 species
AUGGCGCCGCCGGGCUGCAUCCAAGCCGCACCGCCGGAGCAGCCGGCGCUCCAGGACGAGCUCCUCGAGGAAAUCCUCCUCCGCCUGGCGGCGCCCGCCGACCUCGCCCGCGCCUCGACGGCCUGCCCUACCCUGCGCCGCGUCAUCACCGACCACUCCUUCCUCCGCCUCUUCCGCACUCUCCACCCGCCGCCUCUCCUGGGCAUAAUUUCCGCUAGCUUUCGCCCGGCCCAGCAUCCCCAUCCCUCCGCCGCCGCCGCCCGCGCCUUGGCCGCCGCGGAGGUCGAUUUCCGGUGCUCCUUCCUCCCCUCCGUCGAGCGUUGGCGCCGCCGCGACUUCCGUGACGGACGCGCACUCUUCUCCGGCGUCCCCGAGGGAAGCAGCUACGCUCCCGGCGAUUACAAGCGCGGCGACUUCGCCAGGGAGUUCGCUGUCUGCGACCCCCUGUACCGGCGCUACAUUCUGCUACCUGCCAUUCCCGACGAACUAGCCAUGCUGGUUCAUCAACCGGACAUCCUGAACUUCGAGCCCUUCCUUGCUCCUCCCGGUGAUGAUGAAGACGCCGCUUCAUUCAGAGUGAUGUGCCUGGCGCAGUGCACAACCAAGCUGGUCCUCUUCGGCUUCUCUUCGGGUGCCGGCGGAUGGCGUGCUGUUACCUUUGACGGCUGGAUCACUUUGAUGACAAGUCCUGGCUACCAGCCUCCAGCCUCUCACUUGACAUGGGCCUCAGGGCGCUACUAUGCGCACAAAUGCUUCUGUUGGGCUGUUUAUCCGUCCGACAGGUUGCUCAUGCUUGACACGCGCACGAUGGAGUUCUCUGCUGUCGACCUCCCAUGUCAACAUGUCCCUGGCCAAAUGAUCCCAAUAAUGGCUUGUCAACGUGUCCCUGGCCAAAUGAUCCCAAUAAUGGCUUUUGUAGAGGCAGGGGAAGGAAGGCUUGGGAUGUUUACUCUCGUGAGUCGAAUUGAUAAUGACAAGUAUUACCUCCACUAUACCAAGUUGCAAAAAGAUGGAGAUGGUGCAAACAAGUGGCAAUCGGUGGCGGUAAUCUCCUUGCCCUUGCGUUAUCGAUAUACAAUCAUGGGUGUAGCUGGGGGAUACUUACUCCUGCAAGGGAUUCCAGAAGACCUGCAUUCGGCCCCUUUGCCGGAAUGGCCAGAUUUGGACUGUUUUUCACUGAAUCUCCAGACAUUGCAGCUUGAGUGGUUCUGUGCAAAUAAGCACAUGAUUGUGAGUGCCCCUCUAUAUGCCGGUUUACCACCAUCCUUGACUCCACCAACUGUUUGA